rnacentral:rRNA from 1 species
CAAACGACUCUCGGCAACGGAUAUCUCGGCUCACGCAUCGAUGAAGAACGUAGCAAAAUGCGAUACUUGGUGUGAAUUGCAGAAUCCCGUGAACCAUCGAGUUUUUGAACGCAAGUUGCGCCCGAAGCCAUCCGGCCGAGGGCACGCCUGCCUGGGCGUCACGCA